rnacentral:lncRNA from 1 species
CAAAACAUCCUAUAUAUAAUUACAGUAACUUAGGCAUUUUCGUCAAUGCAAAGAAUGUUCCCAAUCUAUAAACGGUUCUAUAGAAAGUAGGGUAUAAGACAUCAAGAAAAGGCCUCCUUUAUCUUUAUAAACUGCCACCCGUUUACCAGAGAGGAUAUAUGCAGGGAGAGAGGCUUCCUUGAAAACAACCUUCCGUCCUUCAAUCCCUUUUGAUUUGUAACUUCAAGUUUUGUAGACUAAUUUUUUUUUUUCCAUUUUUUGCUAAUUUCAAGUAUUAUUUUUUCUGGGUCAUAAAUAUUUUGGGGGCUCUGGAAAUUCUAAGCGGCUAUUUGUCUCCCUCCUUUUUUUCUCUCGAGGUCGAGAAUGUUAAAUUAUUAGAUCUCCAUUUUUGAGUAUUUUUUAUAUUUAAUUUACAUUUUUUUUUGGCUUGAUCUUGUAACCGAGAAUACACACGCGCACACACCAUAUAUAUGUAUGUACAUAUAGGGUAUUCAGAGACAUUGGGAGAAAUUAUAUAAUAUGGUGUCAGAAGGGGGAUCUCGUUAUUGUUCCAAGAAGACUGAUGAUAUAUGUGGUAAUGAGGUAAUUUUUUUCGUUUUCAUUUGUUUUAAAUAUUGUAAUUGAAAAUUAUUAUAUUAUUGCUAAUUUUAUUUCUGCUCGAUAGCUUUGUUGGGUAUUUCUGAUAAUAUUUCUGGGUUUUGUGAUUUAAUUUGUUAGCGAGGAAAAAUAUAUAUAUAUAUAUAUAACAGUUGUGAUUAAAAUUUUUUGGAAAAAUUGAAGCUUUCUUAAUAUAUUGGUAGAGGUCAAACUGUCAGGCGCACACGGCCGGAACCAAUGGGGGUGGCGGCCGUAUACACUCCGACGGUCAAGUCAGGUUUGGGUGGUCGGAGCAGUGUCCAGGGACUACACAAAUCAAUCAGUCAAUAAAGGGGGAGGAGAAUAUAAAACUUGUUAUGGAGUGCUAUCUAUUGAGAGUUUCAUUACCUUUGCCUCUGGCCAAUCUUUUGGUAUUUAUAGGUGGUAUGAACCGUGGGAUGUGGAACACGUGUAUACAUCUGACGGUAUGAAGCGUCUGCUCAUAGGCGUCAAUCAGCCGCGCUUGUAGAGUGGGCGGACAGUUUGUUUCCCCCGAGUUGAAUUGACAUAAAGUUGAUAAGUCACAUCAAAUAGCUUUAUGGGGGACGUCAAAUCAAUUUAAACCUUAUAUGCAGAGCAAAUCUUAAAUUGGCAGCGAAUCUUCUAACGGGUUCAAGCCACUUGAACCCGACCUCGGAGACGGGACACUUCGGCAGAUCAGUGACAGGAAUCGGUGUAUCACUUUGGAGAGGCUUCGGGAGGUCGGAGUGGUCUAUUUGAUUUCACCGGCUUCGGAGUGGCGAGAUGACACUUCGGCACGUCGGUACCGAGGCUCGUAAAAUGAGGCGUAACAGAAACCCAACAUCCGACCGGAAGGAUACAGUAAUCAAGUCUUUGUUGGAGCGCGAUCGUGAUUUGAAUUGCAUUGAAGGUAAAGCAAUGAAAGAAGAAGACAUGCUCGGGAUUUUAUUUUUUUAAAAUUAUAUUCUGAAAAUUACACUAAUGGAAAUAUAGACAUCGAACAUUCUCACUGGUGCAACUUUCGAUGAAUCCCUGUUUGAAUUGGUUGGAAAGGUAAUGCAAAUCAGUUUCAUUAGCCUUACUGUACUGACAAGCAUGUUUUUAGUUGUUAUUAUUAUUAUUAAUUUUUUUUUUUUGGUGAUAAUCUGAUUUUCAAUUUGGUUAUAUUUUACUUAUUUUAUUGUGUUCCUUAGUUUAAGACUUCCUUAAGCUUGUUGAUUAUCUACAUUAUCUGAAUUUGGUAAUUGCAUUUGUAAUCAUUAUCCUAAGCCUUUGUCUACCAUUCAUGGUAAUAGGAAUUGGGACUGGUUGUGCAUGGAAACAGCUUCAUUAAAUUGUGAAGUAGAUAUACCACACCAACAAUUCGAAGCAGAUCAAGGAUGGAACAAUUGUGAAGCGGCCAUGUACUAACGUCGACAGUUCAGUGGCUAUUGUUUCAACUGAAUUUGUAUUUUGUAACGUCCAAUGUUUUGCUUUUGGCAUGUAAAUUGACGUCAGAUUGGGAUGUUACAAUGUUGUUGAGAUAGAACAUAUUCACAUUAAUGAAAUCAGUGUAUUGUUGCUGCCAUGACUAUUUAAAGCACUAGAUGUAGAGAUGAAUGAUGUUUAAAGCACUUGAUGAAAUCAGUAUGUUGCUGUUUAAAGCACUCCGUUGGUUCUUGUUGGUGUGUCCAACCGAUGAUGUGAACUCUGAAGAUGUCGUUGACGACGUGAUUUACAGCAAGCUCCAACUUUCAGUCUUUCAGUUUUUGGGGUGAUUCAAGUGAUACAUCCGAUGAUGAACUGGAGUUAUCAAGUUUGUUGAAGAGCGUUAUUAAAAUAACUGAAGAAAAGUAUGUGGACAUCUCCGUCAAAUUUACUUUCUGCAAGGGAGAAGGAGAAGAGCAACAGGAAACCAAAUGGAGGAGCUUUGUGAACUUGAACUGCUUACGUUUAAAUUUUUUUGUAGGCUUGAAAAUUAGGAAGUAGCUCAAUCCCAUGAACUUCAAUUUCACGUAUGUAAUUUGAAGUGUGUAGUACCCCCAAUGAAGUGACUAUGUUAUUUUAAAUGGAUGUUAUUUUAUAUGAAUGUAAUUUAGAUGCAUGGCAAUGAACAUGUUAUUUUAUAUCAGAA